rnacentral:rRNA from 1 species
UACGUAGGGUGCAAGCGUUGUCCGGAUUCAUUGGGCGUAAAGAGCUCGUAGGCGGCUUGUCAAGUCGGGUGUGAAACCUCCAGGCUCAACCUGGAGACGCCACUCGAGACUGUCAUGGCUAGAGUCCGGUAGGGGAUCACGGAAUUCCUGGUGUAGCGGUGAAAUGCGCAGAUAUCAGGAGGAACACCGAUGGCGAAGGCAGUGGAUCCUGGCCGGUGACUGACGCUGAGGAGCGAAAGCGUGGGUAGC